rnacentral:rRNA from 1 species
AGGUGCGAUCAUACCAGCACUAAUGCACCGGAUCCCAUCAGAACUCCGCAGUGAAGCGUGCUUGGGCGAGAGUAGUACUAGGAUGGGUGACCUCCUGGGAAGUCCUCGUGUUGCACUUCUUU